CGGGGCGGCCCCGCGUGGGCUCCGCGCCGCCCCGCGUGGGCUCCGCGCCGCCCCGCGGCCGCGCCGCGCUCCGCCGCGCCGGGGCAGCUCCUGUUGCCAACUGUGAAUGUGCAGUGCUUUUGUAAAUCAGAUUCCAGAGUCUCAAGGCAUGCACUCACAUAAUGAGACAAAUGCAACUGGAAUAACAUCAUAUGGUGCUUUGAGGAAGAGACAGAAGCCUGACAUCACUCCUGAGCAAAUUGAUGGAGGAGCUGAUGCAGCACUGGAUUAAUAAAGACAGGAAUUACUGGGAUACCCUGCACAGACCUUGCUAAAUGUGAUCUGCAUAAGUGCAGCCCUGGAUACUCUCCCACUGCCCAUUCACAGGGGCCACCUGCACCAAUGGCUCACAGCUCAGCUCAUGGUUCUCCUGAAUAAAUCCUUUCAAAAAUUGCAAGGACAAGAACAUAUUCUCUGUUCUCUGCAUACAAACCAAGCAUGACCAUGUGCAUGUAGUUUAAGAGGGAAAUA